GCCCCUAUCGUCUAGAGGCCUAGGACGUCGGGUUCUCAAUCCGAAAACCGGGGUUCGAUUCCCCGUGGGGGCG
rnacentral:tRNA from 1 species